UGGGGAAUUUUGGACAAUGGGCGAAAGCCUGAUCCAGCGAUGCCGCGUGUGUGAAGAAGGCCUUCGGGUUGUAAAGCACUUUUGUCCGGAAAGAAAUCCUUGGCUCUAAUACAGUCGGGGGAUGACGGUACCGGAAGAAUAAGCACCGGCUAACUACGUGCCAGCAGCCGCGGUAAUACGUAGGGUGCAAGCGUUAAUCGGAAUUACUGGGCGUAAAGCGUGCGCAGGCGGUUUGCUAAGACCGAUGUGAAAUCCCCGGGCUCAACCUGGGAACUGCAUUGGUGACUGGCAGGCUAGAGUAUGGCAGAGGGGGGUUAGAAUUCCACGUGUAGCAGUGAAAUGCGUAGAGAUGUGGAGGAAUACCGAUGGCGAAGGCAGCCCCCUGGGCCAAUACUGACGCUCAUGCACGAAAGCGUGGGGAGCAAACAGGAUUAGAUACCCUGGUAGUCCACGCCCUAAACGAUGUCAACUAGUUGUUGGGGAUUCAUUUCCUUAGUAACGUAGCUAACGCGUGAAGUUGACCGCCUGGGGAGUACGGUCGCAAGAUUAAAACUUAAAUGAAUUGACGGGGUC
rnacentral:rRNA from 1 species